GCCGGAGCUUCCGCCGGGCCCGGCGCGGGGGCCUUGGCGGGGCCCGGCCGGCGCUGCCCUUCCCUGCCUCGGGGGGCUCUGCCCACAGCACACUUCUCCUCGGGGAACGAGGAGGGUCCCGGGGCCUCACCAUCGGCCUCCCUCCACACGGAUCGGCCGCGCUGUACACCCGGAGCUGCUCCAAGCCCUGCAGAAAAAACGCUGGCGCUAGCGACAGCAGCCACCACCAGCAGAAAGCCUGAUUUUGGUUUAAUCAGCAACUUGACAGCAAAGCAGUCUUUUAUUUCAAUUACAAAGGCGUUAAGCAUAAUGCAUCCCAUCUACAAGAUCCUUUUUCUUGGCUAGAAACAGACAAAUAUUUUGUCUGACAUCACUAUUACUUUCCUUUGAAUUUAGGUUCAGUGUGGUAAAUGUGGAUGGAAAGUUUUCUAUUCAAAGGAAAAUACUGCAUUUCAGAAUUUGAUCCCAAUGAUGCCUCAGAGCUUUUUUUUGAUUUUUAAAUUUUUAUAGAUUUUAGAAGUAGAUGUGUAGUGAAUGUAGAUUUUAAUGUAGCUGUAUUAUAUCCCUUACCCUGUAGCACAAUGUUUACACGUACCCAACCCUUCUACCCUAUUUCAUAUCAAUCCCUCUAAAAUUCCGUUAGCAUGUUUAGUCUUCUUUUCAAGGUAGAAUUGUAGAAAAACACCCUAAAGCCUGGACCAGAAGAUAUCACACAGACACAGCAACCUUCAAGCCCAGAACUUUGGAGGAACUCCAAGGACUGUAGGUGUAAUGAUGUAUUGUCUAAGUGUACUUAUAAGGCAAGGAGGAGAUGGAUAAGGAGCAGAGGGUCAAGCACAAGGACGAUAAAGAGGAACCAGGACUGCCAUCUGGAAAGUCCCACAUAGCAGGCCUCAAGGACAGCAGACUAAUCAAACUAUUGGUGGGAAGUCCCUAGCAACUAAACUGAGCCCGGGAAAGAAGGACCAAACGGAAUGGAGCCCGCGAACCUAAAUCCAAUGAAGAGAUGAGAAGUGACUGUGGGAGGGGAAAUUAAUAAGGGUGUAAAUGUUGCUGUUUGCUUGUUGCUCUUGCGGACCAUGAGCGGAGCAGAGGUCUACCCGGUCACCCAGCACGCUGUUUUGCUCAUUUGCACUUUCAAUAAAUCUUAUAAUAAAUUUUUACUACUUUUCAAGUUUAAA